UACGAAGGGGGCUAGCGUUGCUCGGAAUCACUGGGCGUAAAGCGCACGUAGGCGGAUCUUUAAGUCAGGGGUGAAAUCCUGGAGCUCAACUCCAGAACUGCCUUUGAUACUGGGGAUCUCGAGUCCGGAAGAGGUGAGUGGAACUCCGAGUGUAGAGGUGAAAUUCGUAGAUAUUCGGAAGAACACCAGUGGCAAAGGCGGCUCACUGGUCCGGUACUGACGCUGAGGUGCGAAAGCGUGGGGAGCAAACAGG
rnacentral:rRNA from 1 species